ensembl:lncRNA
CGGGAAGCCCAACUUCUAUAAUAGUUCCAGUUUUGCGACUUAGUUUCAGAAACAACACGGAAUAGUCAUGAAGACUUUGACAAUGGUUCUCAAUGUUGGCUGGACAUUAGAAUCACUAGAAUGUGAAAGUCACUCAGUCAUGUCUGACUCUUUGCAACCCCAUGGAUUAUACAGCCCAUGGAAUUCUCCAGGCCAGAAUACUGGAGUUUUUUAUGUGCUAUAUUGGUGCUUGUCACAAUCUACACAUAAUACUGAAUAACUCAGAUGAACUUAGUUCACGCUUUCCUCGAUUUCUUAUGGCUUCUGUAAAGGACUGGAAAAGGCCAGUUUUCAUUCCAAUCCCUAAGAAAGGCAAUGCCAAAGAAUGCUCAAAC